AGAGUUUGAUCAUGGCUCAGGAUGAACGCUAGCGGCAGGCCUAAUACAUGCAAGUCGAGGGAGAUUGUUGGAUUCGUCUGACAUGAAACCGGCGCACGGGUGCGUAACACGUAUGCAACCUACCUUUAACUGGGGUAUAGCUCAGAGAAAUCUGAAUUAAUCCCCCAUAAGACUACGACAUGGCAUCAUGAUGUAGUUAAAGCUCCGGCGGUUAAGGAUGGGCAUGCGGUACAUUAGCUAGUUGGUGAGGUAAUGGCUCACCAAGGCUACGAUGUAUAGGGGGUCUGAGAGGAUGAUCCCCCACACUGGUACUGAGACACGGACCAGACUCCUACGGGAGGCAGGAGUAGGGAAUAUUGGUCAAUGGACGCAAGUCUGAACCAGCCAUGCCGCGUGAAGGAUGAAGGCCCUCUGGGUCGUAAACUUCUUUUAUUAGGGAAGAAAACAUGGGAUGCGUCCCAAACUGACGGUACUUAAUGAAUAAGGAUCGGCUAACUUCGUGCCAGCAGCCGCGGUAAGACGAAGGAUCCAAGCGUUGUCCGGAUUUACUGGGUUUAAAGGGUGCGUAGGCGGAAAAUUAAGUCAGUGGUGAAAGCCCGCAGCUCAACUGUGGAACUGCCAUUGAAACUGAUUUUCUUGAAUAUAGCUGAGGCAGAUGGAAUAUAACAUGUAGCGGUGAAAUGCUUAGAUAUGUUAUAGAACACCGAUUGCGAAGGCAGUCUGCUAAACUAUUAUUGACGCUGAGGCACGAAAGCGUGGGGAGCGAACAGGAUUAGAUACCCUGGUAGUCCACGCCCUAAACGUUGAUUACUCGCUGUUGGCGAUAUACUGUCAGUG
rnacentral:rRNA from 1 species